rnacentral:rRNA from 1 species
UACGGUAGGGAGCAAGCGUUGUCCGGAAUCAUUGGGCGUAAAGCGCGCGUAGGUGGCUCUAUAAGUCCGUUGUGAAAGUCAAAGGCUCAACCUUUGAAAGCCGAUGGAUACUGUAGAGCUAGAGUCCGGAAGAGGCGAGUGGAAAUUCCUGGUGUAGCGGUGGAAUGCGCAGAUAUCAGGAGGAACACCAAUAGCGAAGGCAGCUCGCUGGGACGGUACUGACACUAAGGCGCGAAAGCGUGGGGAGCGAACAGG